rnacentral:lncRNA from 1 species
CAGCAUCCAGGGGAGGCCAACUCUGUCCCCUCUUCCUGAAGGGGGGCUGCCCACAAGAUGGGGUGGAGACCAGCAGACAGGGCUUGCUCCACCACGUCCAGUCCUGGCCUCGGCAGGUUUCCUCGCUCAGCCUCCGUUUCCCUGCUGUGAAGUGGGCGUGAUAAGAGCAGCUGUCACAGAGUUGCUGGGGACGGGCCCUGAGGGGUGGGCGUAGUAGGUAUUCAGGACGGGCUCAGGUAUGAUCACCCACCUGGUACACAAGCACCAGUCCUCUUGGUCCUCCCAAGACCUGCCAAAGGGGGCCUGGUCAUCUGCACGGUCAGCAGAGAGAGCCCGCUCUGGAGCUGAGUCCCAUGUGGCCCUACUGGGCCCCAGCUGUGUGCCCUGGACGCAGGGCUCAGCCCUCAGUUUCCAUCCCUUCAAAAAGGGAGCUCACAGCUGCCGUGAUCCCCACAGGCCCGAUGAGAGGAGGGGUGAAAACAGUGGGGACUUCCAGGGCCAAGAGGCCGAGGAGGGGGACAGAGGGGCACCGGAGCCCCCACCCGGGACCAGACAGGAUGCCGUGGCAAUGACAGAGCCCAGCUGGAACCAGCUGCAGGGGUGUGGUCAGGGCCCUGCGUGGGGCUGCUGGGGCUCCAGCUGAGGCUCUCAGAGUCCGUCAGGGCGCCCUUUUUCGUGUCUGCUAUUGUCAGUGUCAACUGGCUCAUAUGUCGUAACUUCCACAGUGACACGUCGCUGAAGUCAGUGGGGUCAGACUUCACUAAUGAUAAAUUCACAGCACAUGCUGAGGCACGCCAGGGACAGGUGUACCCUCCACUCCUCUCCCGAUGGCCACGUCUUGUCAGAGGAGGAGUGGAUGGCAAUCGGUCCCCAGAGCACCCUCACACGCCUCUGCUGGCCGUCUUGAUCUUACCCGACGAGUGGCUGACUGCUCUGUCACCUCCUCCUGGCUGGAGGAUUAACUCCCUGGCUCACAGGGCUGCAGGACGCUGAACUGGCAGCAACCGGCCCCCGGGCUGCAUGGCCAGCACCUGGUCAGGCCGGUUACUGGGGUGGCCAGAUGGCCUCCCAUCCUCCCACGCUUCCAGGAGCAGGAGAGGCCAGCCUCUCUUCCCCGAAUCCCCAGCUGGAGUUUCCUGGAGGGGCCAGGGCUCAGGGAGGGCGGUCGAGGCUGGGUGGCUUCUCCGUUGGCCUGGGCACAGUUCAGGGCAGUGGGCCAGGUCAUGGGCUGCGAGGACUUCACGCCUCCUACUGGCAGGGCCUCCAAGCACAGCUGCAGGAUGGACCCUGGGUGCUCCUGGCCCCCAGCAGACAGAGCAAGGAGAGACACCAGGAAGCUGGAGAGAGAGUGGGCAAGCCAGGGCCCCCCCGCUCCUGCCCGGUCCAGGCCAAUGGCCUCACCUGGCCAAGGUCUCUGAAAAGCAGCUUCCCUGCAGGAAGAGACUUAACUGAAUGAUCCCUUUGUGCCCAGGUCAGCAUGACCCGGGCACAUUCCUGGAGUUUUCCAACAGAGCUGCCAGGAUUAACCCCCACACCCUGUCUUCUUUCUAGAACAUUCUCACAGAGAUCAGUAAGUUGGUCUAAGGAGAAGGCAGGUGGGUCCUUGUUAGGGGGCUACAGUGCAGGAGAGACCCCACCUUAUGACCCCUAGGGAGGGCUUUCUCCAUACCUGGGGGUAGGUGCCUGGCCCACAGGUAAGGAAGUCCUCAAAGUGCCCCUCCUGCAGGCACCAGGAGCUGCCACCAGAGUCACCCCCACCGGCAGCCUUGAGGCCUAUCGGAUGACAGAUUCACUGUGACCCUGUUGUUCAACUCACCUUGUGGAGUGGGAGGCACAGGGGGCACUGGGGCUGCAGCGCGAGGUCCAGGAAGACACUGUGUGGGCGCUGGGCCUCCAGGAGGGGCCGAGGCUCAGGGGGGCUUCCAGAGCACGGGUCAGGGCUGCUGUCACAAGUGCCCCCACCUGGGUGGUGUUAACAGCAGAAACGGAGCAAGGCUCUGGGGCCCGGCCCUGGAGUGGGCUCUCACCUGAGUGGUUCAGGCAGCUUCUUGGAUACUUCUCUUCCCUUCUCUGAGGCAUCAGGAUGAAGAAAACGUCACUGUUCACUGUGACGACUAGGGAUCAGUUGAAAUCCCACAGUGAAGGGCAUGGCCCAGCCCUGGCAUGCAGAAAACGCCAGGCACCGAAGUCCGCGUCUGCUGACUGUGUGAGCGGAGGGGGACACCUGGAGCUGUGUGGGUGGGGGGUCACCUCCUACCUUUUAGAUGCAGAGGAGGGGGGGGAGAAGAGAAGAAAGACACUGAGAGAAGAAGGAGAGGGAGGAAGAGGGGAGGGGGAAGGAGAGAAGGAGAGAAGCCACUGCCCGUCCGUCUGCCCGUCUGAUUGGCAGGAGGCUAGCUGUGCCCCCUGUCCAACGCCAACUCCGCAGCCCCCCGUAGGCAGCUGCCCCUGGUUUUUGUCUUAGGCCAGAAGCAAGGGGCUUCUCUUAUAUGCAACAAAAAUCAAGGUGAGUGCUAAAGGCACCUGAGACACUUGGCUUGGCCCGUCUGGCAGGCUGAGGGUCCCACGGAAUCUGUCAGAGUCCAGCCACCUUCCCCCGGAGGCCAGGGAAAUCCUGCCCCAGGCCCAGUGGCCACAGAGACAAGCCUGCAGCCCAGGCAUGGGGCGGUGCCGAAGCUCCUCGGGGCCAUCUCCUGCGCCUACAGGAGCCUUCACAGCCUGCCCACCUGCACCCCACGCCCAGGCCUCCUCUCCCUGAGGCCCGGCUUCUGGCAAGUUCCACACUCAAUCCAGGGACGCGUUGGACAGGUCACACCCUGCCCAGUAGGCAAGCCAGCCUGUGAGGAGGGAGAGCACAGGGAAGCGGCCAUCGCGGCCUCCCAGCACUGCGCCCAGUGCCGCCUGCUCAACACCAGUCUCCCCGGCCACCUCCACUGCUCCCUGUCCGCCGAGGCAUCGCUGCCACCACAGGUGACCAGUCCAGGACAGUUCCUGACCUGAAGCCCACGAGGUUCGUUCUGACAUUUUCAGCUACAAGCCCCUGUGGAGGUGGCGCCCUGAAGCCGUGUGCCCCUCCCACGGUCGCCCGUCCCCCUCUGCCCUCAGAGUGUGCUAGGCGGGGGGCCGGGGGCUUAGAGCAAACCUUUGGUGUCACUGACGGUGCCUGUGAGUGCUGGAACGUGGCUCCCAAAGCUGAGGACUAUCGCUUGGUUGGUUUUAAUGUAACUGGAAGGUCCUCAGCACAGGACCCCUGGUUUGGAGAGUCCACAUGGAACUCUCCAGGAUACCAUGCCAUGUGUCCUGGGGGGACCAGGACGGUCCCAACCUAGUCCCAGUCUCACUUGGUGGCCAGUUCACGAGAGCAGAGCUUCCCACAGUGAGGUUCCUGGAACCAGCAGCGCCAGCCCCGAGUGAGAUGCAGAGUCCCAAGCCUGUCCCACCCUGGGCCUGACACCCGCCCGGGGAGUCUGCCGCAGGCUCCCGCCACAGGAGAGAGGCAGCCUGGGGAAGGCUCCGCUCUGACGUCCAGGAGCUUGGCUCUGGGAGCAGGUUCGGCUCCUUCCCUGAGGACAGAGAGGCUGGUGGCAGGCAGUGCCACCUGGUGGGUGGAAGGCUACUGUCAGCCGGGGAAACCGGCUCCUCUCCCUGCCCGGGGGACCCCCAGGGACCCCCCCCCCCAGUCCACAAAACAAGCAAACGUUAGCACCGGCCUCCAGGCCACUGCGAGGGCAGGACAGUCAAGAGCGGAAGCAGCCCGCUGGCUCCCGGGGCUGCCCGAGGUGUCCCAGUGUGGUGCCAGCUUUUGCUCCUCCACCUGAACAGGGAUGGCAGGGGCACCGUAGGAGGCCUGGUCUACGUGCAUUAGGGACCCCAGGGCGGGGGCUGGGACGAGGUCUGCCAUGUCACCAGGAGCUGGUUUGCAGGGUAGGGGCUGGGGGAGGAUAGGAAGGUAUGGAGGCUGCCCCUGCAGGUUUGGGAGGGCAGGGUUAAGGGGCCUUCAGCUUGGGGCCCUGGGUGGCAGGGAGUCCCCGGGCAGGGAGGGCAGGGAGUCCCCGGGCUGGGAGGCUGUAAGACAGCCACCUGGAGGAGACGGCAGGAAUGAGCCAUGGUUGCCCUGGGUGACGCUCUUUAGAUGCCUCUGGAGGGGCCGCUGAGGACUUGCUCUCCAGAGUCUCAGAGGACAAGAGGGGACCGCUGAGCUGGAGGGCUGUGGCACCCCUGGGAGCCCUGACAGGUUCUCUCCUGGGCCCAAGGGGUCAGCAGCCGCCCAGGCUGGGGCCCAGCUGGAUCCCAGCUCAGCAGCAGUGACCAGCAGAGGCCCAGGACAGCAGGGUAGCUGUUGUGUGUUGGCCUUUGUUUUUUCUAGAAAAAAUCACAGAGUUUGGAGCCUCCUCAGUACCCACCAUGGGUGGUGGUGUGGGGCACUUUACCAGAGCAAAGAGCAAGACGGCCAGGACCAAGGAUGUGCCCAGGACUCCGAAGCCAACCAGAGACCCCACGGCCCAAAGAACUUGAGCUUCCACAGGGCAACAGGGGCCGGGACGGAGGCCCAUCUUGGAGUGCAGAGGAGUUUUUAAAAAAUGAGUUAUUUGCCUCAGAGGCUGGGAGGGGCCAGGACACUGUCCUGAAAACUGGUAAAUAAAGGGCAGGACUUUGUGUCUUUCUGCCCUUCCCAUGCCCACUGCUGACACGAGGAAGGUGUCCC